GACAGAGGUCCCGAGCGUUAGGCGGAAUCACUGGGCUUAAAGCGUGUGUAGGCGGAGUUCUAAGUACCUUGUGAAAUCCCACGGCUCAACCGUGGAACUGCUUGGUAUACUGGUUCUCUUGAGCCACCUAGGGGCAACCAGAACAAACGGUGGAGCGGUGAAAUGCGUAGAUAUCGUUUGGAACGCCAAUGGUGAAAACAGGGUUGCUGGGGGGUGUGCUGACGCGUGAGAACACGGAAAGCCCAGGGGGAGCAAACGGGG
rnacentral:rRNA from 1 species